rnacentral:rRNA from 1 species
GGACGAACGCUGGCGGCGUGCUUACCACAUGCAAGUCGAACGCUGAAGCUUGGUGCUUGCACUGGGUGGAUGAGUGGCGAACGGGUGAGUAAUACGUGAGUAACCUGCCCUUGACUCUGGGAUAAGCCUGGGAAACUGGGUCUAAUACUGGAUACGACAUGUCACCGCAUGGUGGUGUGUGGAAAGGGUUUUACUGGUUUUGGAUGGGCUCACGGCCUAUCAGCUUGUUGGUGGGGUAAUGGCUCACCAAGGCGACGACGGGUAGCCGGCCUGAGAGGGUGACCGGCCACACUGGGACUGAGACACGGCCCAGACUCCUACGGGAGGCAGCAGUGGGGAAUAUUGCACAAUGGGCGGAAGCCUGAUGCAGCGACGCCGCGUGAGGGAUGACGGCCUUCGGGUUGUAAACCUCUUUCAGCACGGAAGAAGCGAAAGUGACGGUACGUGCAGAAGAAGCGCCGGCUAACUACGUG